CACUUGCUAAAACUUCUCCUAAACCUAAAUAACGUCUGUUAAACACAAGGUUUUGCAGUGGAAAAAAAGCCCUACAAAGUAAAAAGCAGUGAAAUCAGGGAGAACAGGCACCACAGCUGACAUGAGAGAGAAGCAGAAAAUUCUCCAAAGAAUAACAUUUUAAUUCAUCUUGAAAUAAACAUUGAGGGUCUGUGACUGACUCCUGUAAA
rnacentral:lncRNA from 1 species